rnacentral:misc_RNA from 1 species
GAUGAAGAACGUAGCGAAAUGCGAUAAGUAAUGUGAAUUGCAGAAUUCAGUGAAUCAUCGAAUCUUUGAACGCACCUUGCACUCCUUGGUAUUCCGAGGAGUACGCCUGUUCGAGUGUUAUGAAGCUCUCAAAACGCAAUUGGCUUAAAACCUGAUUGUUGUUUUGGAUUUGAACUUUGCCGUGUUAUAACGGCUGGUUUUAAAAGUAUUAGCUGGUACUAGAACGAAUUGGUUCUACUCAACGUGAUAAUUAUCUGAUCGUUGAGGACAUUCCUUUCACGAGGAAUGGCCAUAGUAAAUUCAAUGGACUGCUUCUACUCUGGCUUUAAUUCUUUAUUGGAUUAACCACUUUUCAAAUCUGACCUCGAAUCAGGUGGGACUACCCGCUGAACUUAAGCAUAUCAAUAAGCGGAGGA